UAUGGAAUUGAGUAGCUACAAAUCUGUUUUGAUUUUUUUUUUUUAAGAUCUAGUGUGUCAUCUUUCAAAUGUCAAAUUUGUAUUGAUAAUUUGAGCAUUUCACUUUAAGUAUUUCAUUGAUAUUUUCUGUUUUGUUGAAUUUGUAAAUUGGAAACAAAAAGAUGUCGCUGCGUACUAAAAGAAUCUGUGUUUCUAUUCUUGUCUUCAUGUACAUGAUAUACAUGGCUAUCAUGAUAGCAUUCAAAUUAUAUUACAUGCAUUCUUGCAGUCAAUGCCAGAACAAUUGCGAUCUCUUCAAAACUUGCGUCGAGCAUCCAAUUCGCUGUCUGACGACCUAUCAAUUCUGCAAGCCUCUUUGUGGUAUUCAAUACUAAAGAAAUGGAGGAUUGCAUCUUUAAUGUAUUUCUUUAUGAACGAAUGAAGGCUGCAUCUUCAAUAUAUUCCUUUAGCUUCUAAAGUUGAGAAUAAACUCAUAAGACAAUUAACAUCGAAUAAUAUGUAAAUGCAACUCAAUAAACAUAAUUCUUAUCAUCUUGCAAGAAA